rnacentral:sRNA from 1 species
UGCAGGCAAGCGCGGGGCUUGUAGAGGUCGCCGAAAGGUGGCAGCCCGAAAGGGUGGGAUCCUCGAACCCGGGGCCUGUUUAAAU